GUGGGUAACCCACCUUCGAAUCUGGGAUAACUCCGCGAAGUGGCUAAUACCGGAUAAGACCACAGCCGCUUCGCGUAGAGGUAAAAGCUGACCUCUCCAUGGAAGUUAGCGUUCGAGGACGGGCCCGCGUCCUAUCAGCUUGUUGGUGGGGUAAAGGCCUACCAAGGCAGCGACGGGUAGCUGGUCUGAGAGGAUGAUCAGCCACACUGGAACUGGAACACGGUCCAGACUCCUACGGGAGGCAGCAGUGAGGAAUUUUGCGCAAUGGGCGAAAGUGACGCAGCAACGCCGCGUGGGUGAAGAAGGCUUUCGGGUCGUAAAGCCCUGUCAGGUGGGAAGAAAAUCUUCAGCACUAAUAAUGCUGAAGCCUGACGGUACCACCAGAGGAAGCACCGGCCAACUCCGUGCCAGCAGCCGCGGUAAUACGGAGGGUGCAAGCGUUGUUCGGAAUUAUUGGGCGUAAAGAGCGUGUAGGCGGUUCGGUAAGUCAGAUGUGAAAGCCCUGGGCUCAACCCAGGAAGUGCAUUUGAAACUACCAGACUUGAGUACGGGAGAGGAGGGGGGAAUUCCCGGUGUAGAGGUGAAAUUCGUAGAUAUCGGGAGGAAUACCGGUGGCGAAGCGCCCCUCUGGACCGAUACUGACGCUGAGACGCGAAACUGGGGAGCAAACAGGAUUAGAUACCCUGGUAGUCCACGCCGUAAACGAUGAGCACUAGGUGUAGCGGGUAUUGACCCCUGCUGU
rnacentral:rRNA from 1 species